UACGGGAGGCAGCAGUGGGGAAUAUUGCACAAUGGGCGCAAGCCUGAUGCAGCCAUGCCGCGUGUAUGAAGAAGGCCUUCGGGUUGUAAAGUACUUUCAGUCGUGAGGAAGGUGUUAAGGUUAAUAACCUUAGCAAUUGACGUUAGCGACAGAAGAAGCACCGGCUAACUCCGUGCCAGCAGCCGCGGUAAUACGGAGGGUGCGAGCGUUAAUCGGAAUUACUGGGCGUAAAGGGCACGCAGGCGGUUAAUUAAGUUGGAUGUGAAAUCCCCGGGCUUAACCUGGGAAUGGCAUUCAAGACUGGUUAGCUAGAGUCUUGUAGAGGGGGUUAGAAUUCCAUGUGUAGCGGUGAAAUGCGUAGAGAUGUGGAGGAAUACCGGUGGCGAAGGCGGCCCCUGGACAAAGACCUGACGCUCAUGUGCGAAAGCGUGGGGAGCAAAC
rnacentral:rRNA from 1 species